rnacentral:tRNA from 1 species
UCCCGUAUGGUUCAGUUGGUAGAGCAUGGUGUUUGCAACGCCAGGGUUAUGGGUUCGAUUCCCACGGGGGAC